GACUACUCGGGUAUCUAAGCCGGUUUGCUCCCCACGCUUUCGUCCCUGAGUGUCAGCACAUUCCUAGUAUCCUGCCUUCGCUUUUGGCGUUCUAUCGUGGAUCAACGGAUUUUACCCCUACACACGACAUUCCAGAUACCUCUGAAUGGCUCAAUUCCCAUAGUUUCCGGCACGGAUGCGAAGUUAAGCUUCGCAUUUUGACACCAGACUUGCAGGAACACCUACGGACCCUUUACGCCCAGUAAUUCCGAGUAACGCUUGCACCUUCUGUCUUACCGCGGCUGCUGGCACAGAAUUAGCCGGUGCUUUCUCCUGAGGUACCGUCAAAAAUUUCGUCCCUCAGAACAGAAGUUUACGCCCAAAAGGGUUUCAUCCUUCACGCGGCGUCGCUCCGUCAGGCUUUCGCCCAUUGCGGAAGAUUCCUCACUGCAGCCUCCCGUAGG
rnacentral:rRNA from 1 species